rnacentral:rRNA from 1 species
UACGUAGGGUGCGAGCGUUAAUCGGAAUUACUGGGCGUAAAGCGUGCGCAGGCGGCGCGUUAAGACAGGUGUGAAAGCCCCGAGCUUAACUUGGGAAUUGCGCUUGUGACUGGCGUGCUGGAGUGUGGCAGAGGGAGGUGGAAUUCCACGUGUAGCAGUGAAAUGCGUAGAGAUGUGGAGGAACACAGAUGGCGAAGGCAGCCUCCUGGGCCAGCACUGACGCUCAUGCACGAAAGCGUGGGGAGCAAACAGG